GCUGAGCCUCUCUUUCUACUAAAAGUUCUUCCCUUUUUCUCUUCUCAAAUUUCAUUCUCUUCUCACAAAUAUAAAUUCCCAAUUUAUUCAUAUAACAAAUUAUUAUACUCUUAACCUAUAGUUUAUUUUUGAAGAUAAAAUAAUGGAAACUCUAUCGGAUUCCAAAGGAAAAACAUCAACAAACAAUUUGGAUCAUAAAAUUGAUGAAAUUUUGACUCUCGAGGAUUCUCGACCGAAGAGCAUGGAAUGGACUGACGAGAAGCAUAGUUUGUAUCUCAAGUCUAUGGAAGCAUCAUUUGUCGACCACUUAUAUGGUUCCUUAGACGUGGUUGGUCGGCAUUCCCAAAAUGAUGGCUUUUCAAGGCAUAAAUCAUCAAGACAAAAGCAUGUCAAUCCUUCGGGCCAGUAUAAGGUGUUUCAAGAUGGUUGUUGGACCAAAAUUGACUUCAAGAAAGACCAGCCUCAGUUAAAUAAAACAAGCGGAUCUGCUGCUGUAUUGGCAAGCCCUUGGAUUAAGCAUUUCAAAUCUGCAGGCCGACAUCAAACGAGAGUAAAUUCAGAUCUACAGGGAAACACUACCUUAGUGAAACAGAAUCAAUCUCCCGUUUUGUGCCAUAAAGAUUACGUUACAGAGGUGAUGGAUCAAAACUUUAUCGAUGAAGAUCUUGAAGGGGGACAGUCUAGCAGCAGGGAGCAUUGCACAAAACGGACAAAAAUUCCGUUAGGUGCUGGUUCAAGCAGUGAUCAAGUAAUGAGUUGGACCAGCUAAUUUGCAGCUCUAAAUUACUCAGUGGCACACAUUAGAUUGUCAACUAACUAUACUUUAAAUGGAUCAUCCAGGUAGUUCCAUUUUCUACAUCCUCAAUGACUGAUAAUCUUAAGGAUCUUCUGGAGUCGACGGGUUAAGUCUUUGGCUUUCAGCGAUGACUAUGAUGAUACUAACCUCUUUAACCAAGAACGACGUAUGGAAUGUAAAAACAGCAGGUGGGAAGACGUUACGUCAAGAUUUUGCUAUAGUUUCUUCCCGGAACUAGUUAUGGUUUUGUAUCUCUUUAUUUAUCUGUAUGUUGGAAAUUCGAGUAGCUAUUGAACCUCUAAUCUUUGUACAGAUUUUGGAAAAAUG
rnacentral:misc_RNA from 1 species